AUUGAACGCUGGCGGCAGGCCUAACACAUGCAAGUCGAACGAGUGGCGGACGGGUGAGUAAUGUCUGGGAAACUGCCCGAUGGAGGGGGAUAACUACUGGAAACGGUAGCUAAUACCGCAUACCAUCGGAUGUGCCCAGAUGGGAUUAGCUAGUAGUGGGGGUAACGGCUCACCUAGGCGACGAUCCCUAGCUGGUCUGAGAGGAUGACCGGCCACACUGGAACGGAACACGGGUCCAGACUCCUACGGGAGGCAGAAGUGGGGAAUAUUGCACAAUGGGCGCAAGCCUAAUGCAGCCAGGCCGCGUGGAUGAAGAAGGCCUUCGGGUUGUAAAGUACUUUCAGCGAGGAGGCGUUACUCGCAGAAGAAGCACCGGCUAACUCCGUGCCAGCAGCCGCGGUAAUUC
rnacentral:rRNA from 1 species